CAGUAGCCGCGGGAAUACGUAGGGUGCGAGCGUUAAUCGGAAUUACUGGGCGUAAAGCGUGCGCAGGCGGUUGUGUAAGACAGGUGUGAAAUCCCCGGGCUUAACCUGGGAACUGCGCUUGUGACUGCACAGCUAGAGUAUGGCAGAGGGGGUGGGAUUCCACGUGUAGCAGUGAAAUGCGUAGAGAUGUGGAGGAACACCGAUGGCGUAGGCAGCCCCCUGGGCCAAUACUGACGCUCAUGCACGAAAGCGUGGGGAGCAAACAGGAUUAGAUACCCCAGUAGUCCCUGUCUCUUAUACA
rnacentral:rRNA from 1 species